rnacentral:lncRNA from 10 species
GAACCGACUCCGCUCCGCACUGGCCUUGGUCACAGGUGCGGGGAGCGGCAUCGGCCGAGCGGUCAGUGUACGCCUGGCCGGAGAGGGGGCCACCGUAGCUGCCUGCGACCUGGACCGGGCAGCGGCACAGGAGACGGUGCGGCUGCUGGGCGGGCCAGGGAGCAAGGAGGGGCCGCCCCGAGGGAACCAUGCUGCCUUCCAGGCUGACGUGUCUGAGGCCAGGGCCGCCAGGUGCCUGCUGGAACAAGUGCAGGCCUGCUUUUCUCGCCCACCAUCUGUCGUUGUGUCCUGUGCGGGCAUCACCCAGGAUGAGUUUCUGCUGCACAUGUCUGAGGAUGACUGGGACAAAGUCAUAGCUGUCAACCUCAAGGGCACCUUCCUAGUCACUCAGGCUGCAGCACAAGCCCUGGUGUCCAAUGGUUGUCGUGGUUCCAUCAUCAACAUCAGUAGCAUCGUAGGAAAGGUCAGGUUGAGUUGGACGAGGUCAGCCAGCCAAGUGGUAUAGAGAGGAGAACCCCUCCUUGAGACUCCUGACUCAUUCCACAUCUCUGACUCACCUAUAGGUGGGGAACGUGGGGCAGACAAACUAUGCAGCAUCCAAGGCUGGAGUGAUUGGGCUGACCCAGACCGCAGCCCGGGAGCUUGGACGGUUGGUCAGAUGCUUGAGGGUGCUGGGGAGCACCUGGGGGGUCUGAGGGAGGUACCAGCAUUCAGCCCUCUCCAGAAUCGGCAGCCACUCUCCUUCCCACAGACAUGGGAUCCGCUGUAACUCUGUCCUCCCAGGGUUCAUUGCAACACCCAUGACACAGAAAGUGCCACAGAAAGUGGUGGACAAGGUAGGAGGCUGUGGGUGGAGGGCAGAAUCAUUCAGAGACUCAAUCUCUCUGGGCUUCACAGAGAGAGAGAGAGAGAGAGAGAGAGAAUACUGGGCACAGUUCCUGGCAAACAUUAAAUAUUCAAUGAAUGUAUGAGAAAUGAAGACAAAAAAGGGUCACAGACUCAGUCUUCAAAAAAAUCCAUAAAAGAAGCUUUCACCCACAUGAGUAUUUCCUUACAGAUUACUGAAAUGAUCCCGAUGGGACACUUGGGGGACCCUGAGGGUGAGCACUGAAUGUAGUGGGGUCCCUGGGAAGGGGGCCUGAAUGAAGAGAUCCCCAAAGUUUGGGGAUUUUCUAGGGGACUGGUGGUUGG